rnacentral:rRNA from 1 species
CAGCCGCCGCGGUAAUACGUAGGGUGCAAGCGUUAAUCGGAAUUACUAGGCGUAAAGCGUGCGCAGGCGGUUAUAUAAGUCAGAUGUGAAAUCCCCGGGCUCAACCUGGGAACUGCGUUUGAGACUGUAUGGCUAGAGUGUGUCAGAGGGGGGUAGAAUUCCACGUGUAGCAGUGAAAUGCGUAGAUAUGUGGAGGAAUACCGAUGGCGAAGGCAGCCCCCUGGGAUAACACUGACGCUCAUGCACGAAAGCGUGGGGAGCAAACAGGAUUAGAUACCCGUGUAGUCCCUGUCUCUUAUAU